rnacentral:rRNA from 1 species
GACGAACGCUGGCGGCGUGCCUAAUACAUGCAAGUAGAACGCUGAAGAGAGGAGCUUGCUCUUCUUGGAUGAGUUGCGAACGGGUGAGUAACGCGUAGGUAACCUGCCUUGUAGCGGGGGAUAACUAUUGGAAACGAUAGCUAAUACCGCAUAACAAUGGAUGACACAUGUCAUUUAUUUGAAAGGGGCAAAUGCUCCACUACAAGAUGGACCUGCGUUGUAUUAGCUAGUAGGUGAGGUAACGGCUCACCUAGGCGACGAUACAUAGCCGACCUGAGAGGGUGAUCGGCCACACUGGGACUGAGACACGGCCCAGACUCCUACGGGAGGCAGCAGUAGGGAAUCUUCGGCAAUGGGGGCAACCCUGACCGAGCAACGCCGCGUGAGUGAAGAAGGUUUUCGGAUCGUAAAGCUCUGUUGUAAGUCAAGAACGAGUGUGAGAGUGGAAAGUUCACACUGUGACGGUAGCUUACCAGAAAGGGACGGCUAACUACGUGCCAGCAGCCGCGGUAAUACGUAGGUCCCGAGCGUUGUCCGGAUUUAUUGGGCGUAAAGCGAGCGCAGGCGGUUUGAUAAGUCUGAAGUUAAAGGCUGUGGCUCAACCAUAGUUCGCUUUGGAAACUGUCAAACUUGAGUGCAGAAGGGGAGAGCGGAAUUCCAUGUGUAGCGGUGAAAUGCGUAGAUAUAUGGAGGAACACCGGUGGCGAAAGCGGCUCUCUGGUCUGUAACUGACGCUGAGGCUCGAAAGCGUGGGGAGCGAACAGG